rnacentral:rRNA from 1 species
CCUACGGGAGGCAGCAGUGGGGAAUUUUGGACAAUGGGCGAAAGCCUGAUCCAGCAAUGCCGCGUGCAGGAAGAAGGCCUUCGGGUUGUAAACUGCUUUUGUACGGAACGAAACGGUCUGCUUUAAUACAGUGGGCUAAUGACGGUACCGUAAGAAUAAGCACCGGCUAACUACGUGCCAGCAGCCGCGGUAAUACGUAGGGUGCGAGCGUUAAUCGGAAUUACUGGGCGUAAAGCGUGCGCAGGCGGUUAUAUAAGACAGUUGUGAAAUCCCCGGGCUCAACCUGGGAAUUGCAUCUGUGACUGUAUAGCUAGAGUACGGUAGAGGGGGAUGGAAUUCCGCGUGUAGCAGUGAAAUGCGUAGAUAUGCGGAGGAACACCGAUGGCGAAGGCAAUCCCCUGGACCUGUACUGACGCUCAUGCACGAAAGCGUGGGGAGCAAACAGGAUUAGAUACCCUGGUAGUCCACGCCCUAAACGAUGUCAACUGGUUGUUGGGUGCAUUAGUACUCAGUAACGAAGCUAACGCGUGAAGUUGACCGCCUGGGGNGGACGGUCCGGCGAGUUAGAACGUACGAAAGAAGUUAGAGGCGNGAGAGNGCGACGGACGACGACGAGGGAGGAGG